rnacentral:rRNA from 1 species
GAACGGGUGAGUAAUGCAUCGGAACGUGCCCAAUCGUGGGGGAUAACGCAGCGAAAGCUGUGCUAAUACCGCAUACGAUCUACGGAUGAAAGCGGGGGACCUUCGGGCCUCGCGCGAUUGGAGCGGCCGAUGUUAGAUUAGGUAGUUGGUGGGGUAAAGGCUCACCAAGCCGACGAUCCUUAGCUGGUCUGAGAGGACGAUCCCCCACACUGGUACUGAGACACGGACCAGACUCC